rnacentral:lncRNA from 1 species
GUGUAUCAUCAUCCCAAAUGACCCCUCGGUCUUCGUCUUCACGUCGUAGGUCCCAAUCGAGCGCUAUCUAUUUUUUUUAUAAAAAAAUAAUUCACUUCGUUCUCUAAUUAAUGGAAAAAAUAAUGUAAAAUAGAAAAAAAGAAAGGAAUAGAGCGACAGAGAUCGAUCGAUCGUAUGCAAUGCGAAGCAUUAAGGGGGC